AAGGCUGGAGAACACACACACACCUUCAAUGUUGGUGUCAUUUGAAGAUGUGGCUGUGGACUUUACCCAGGAGGAAUGGCAGCACAUGGACAACACUCAGCGGACCCUGUACAGGGAUGUGAUGCUUGAGACUUACAACAAUCUGCUGUCCUUGGGGUACAGCUUGACAAAGCCUGAUGUGAUCUUAAACUUGGAACGACAUUCAACACCAUGGACCGUGGACAAAUCUACAAACCGGAGACUUCCAGG